rnacentral:tRNA from 2 species
AGGCUCGUAACUCAGUUGGUAGAGUGGUUGCCUUACAAGCAAUAAGUCAUCGGUUCGAGUCCGAUCGAGCCUA